UACAGGGGUCCCAAGCGUUGUUCGGAUUUACUGGGCGUAAAGGGCGCGUAGGCGGUUUGGUAAGUCUGACGUGAAAUCUCCGGGCCUAACCCGGAAACUGCCUUGGAUACUAUUUGACUAGAGGAAUGGAGGGGAGACUGGAAUACUUGGUGUAGCAGUGAAAUGCGUAGAUAUCAAGUGGAACACCAGUGGCGAAGGCGAGUCUCUGGACAGUUCCUGACGCUGAGGCGCGAAAGCCAGGGGAGCAAACGGG
rnacentral:rRNA from 1 species